rnacentral:rRNA from 1 species
GGUUGCGAUCAUACCAGCACUAAUGCACCGGAUCCCAUCAGAACUCCGCAGUUAAGCGUGCUUGGGCGAGAGUAGUACUAGGAUGGGUGACCCCCUGGGAAGUCCUCGUGUUGCAUCCC